rnacentral:rRNA from 1 species
CAGCCGCCGCGGGAAUACGAAGGGGGCUAGCGUUGUUCGGAAUUACUUGGCGUAAAGCGCAUGUAGGCGGAUUUGUUAGUCAGGGGUGAAAUCCCGGGGCUCAACCUCGGAACUGCCUUUGAUACUGCAAGUCUCGAGUCCGGAAGAGGUGAGUGGAAUUCCUAGUGUAGAGGUGAAAUUCGUAGAUAUUAGGAAGAACACCAGUGGCGAAGGCGGCUCACUGGUCCGGUACUGACGCUGAGGUGCGAAAGCGUGGGGAGCAAACAGGAUUAGAUACCCCCGUAGUCCCUGUCUCUUAUAC